rnacentral:rRNA from 1 species
GCAGGCUGCAAUUCGCCUUCAUGAAGCCGGAAUUGCUAGUAAUGGCAGGUCAGCAUACUGCCGUGAAUACGUUCCCGGGCCUUGUACACACCGCCCGUCACACCAUGAGAGUUGGGGAUACCCGAAGCCUGUGAGCUAACUUAUAGAGGCAGCAGUCGAAGGUAGAAUCAAUGAUUGGGGUGAAGUCGUAACAAGGUAAC